rnacentral:rRNA from 1 species
UUGACCUCAAAUCAGGUAGGACCACC